rnacentral:rRNA from 1 species
CCUACGGGAGGCAGCAGUGGGGAAUAUUGCACAAUGGGGGAAACCCUGAUGCAGCGACGCCGCGUGAGUGAAGAAGUAUUUCGGUAUGUAAAGCUCUAUCAGCAGGGAAGAAAAUGACGGUACCUGAUUAAGAAGCCCCGGCUAACUACGUGCCAGCAGCCGCGGUAAUACGUAGGGGGCAAGCGUUAUCCGGAUUUACUGGGUGUAAAGGGAGCGUAGACGGCAGCACAAGUCUGGAGUGAAAUGCCGGGGCUUAACCCCGGAACUGCUGUGGAAACUGUGCAGCUAGAGUGCAGGAGAGGUAAGUGGAAUGCGGGGUGUAGCGGUGAAAUGCGUAGAUAUUAGGAGGAACACC